GGCGGCAAGACAGCCCAUUUAGAGGAACCUGCCCUAUAAACGAUGAUCCACGAUAAACCUUACUUUUGUUAGUUAACAGUUUGUAUACCGCUGUUGUCAGUCAGUUUUUUUAGAAAACUUUCAAUAAUGGGAUUUCCAUUGACUUCAAGUAAAGGUGCAGCUUAUGCAAAAGAUAGAGGUGGGUUACAAUUAUGAGAUUAAUACGGAUGAAACACAGGAAGAGUUUUCUGAAGGUGGAUUUAAUAGUAAAACUUAUAAUGGUUUGAUAUGAGCACUGUCUUGUGUACACACCGCCCGUCG
rnacentral:rRNA from 1 species